AGUCAUUUGAACAGUGUGUUCAUCUUUCAGAAAUACCAGACAUGCUCUUCUUGGAGUGACUAAGACUUUGGGCCCUUCUGGCAAGAUGGAUGAAGAUAGGGCCAUGGUUCCAUUGUGCUGGCCUUUGGACUUGGGAUAGUGAGACAUGAGGCCUCAAGAAGUUGCAUCCUGCCUUAAAUCAUCUAGCUGAUUCAUACAAACCAACCAAAAUUAAAACCACGUAUUCUGCAUCCAAGUAAUGAAAGCAGUCCUGACAAAAUAGAAUUAACAGCCUGCCAGCUAAUAAGCUCUCCAGUAUCCUCCAAUAAAAU